UACGUAGGGUGCGAGCGUUGUCCGGAAUUAUUGGGCGUAAAGAGUUCGUAGGCGGUCUGUCGCGUCUGCUGUGAAAACUCAGGGCUUAACCCUGAGCUUGCAGUGGGUACGGGCAGACUAGAGUGCGGUAGGGGAGUCUGGAAUUCCUGGUGUAGCGGUGAAAUGCGCAGAUAUCAGGAGGAACACCGGUGGCGAAGGCGGGUCUCUGGGCCGUAACUGACGCUGAGGGGCGAAAGCAUGGGGAGCGAACGGG
rnacentral:rRNA from 1 species